rnacentral:rRNA from 1 species
UGCAGUCGAGCGGACAGAUGGGAGCUUGCUCCCUGAUGUUAGCGGCGGACGGGUGAGUAACACGUGGGUAACCUGCCUGUAAGACUGGGAUAACUCCGGGAAACCGGGGCUAAUACCGGAUGGUUGUCUGAACCGCAUGGUUCAGACAUAAAAGGUGGCUUCGGCUACCACUUACAGAUGGACCCGCGGCGCAUUAGCUAGUUGGUGAGGUAACGGCUCACCAAGGCGACGAUGCGUAGCCGACCUGAGAGGGUGAUCGGCCACACUGGGACUGAGACACGGCCCAGACUCCUACGGGAGGCAGCAGUAGGGAAUCUUCCGCAAUGGACGAAAGUCUGACGGAGCAACGCCGCGUGAGUGAUGAAGGUUUUCGGAUCGUAAAGCUCUGUUGUUAGGGAAGAACAAGUGCCGUUCAAAUAGGGCGGCACCUUGACGGUACCUAACCAGAAAGCCACGGCUAACUACGUGCCAGCAGCCGCGGUAAUACGUAGGUGGCAAGCGUUGUCCGGAAUUAUUGGGCGUAAAGGGCUCGCAGGCGGUUUCUUAAGUCUGAUGUGAAAGCCCCCGGCUCAACCGGGGAGGGUCAUUGGAAACUGGGGAACUUGAGUGCAGAAGAGGAGAGUGGAAUUCCACGUGUAGCGGUGAAAUGCGUAGAGAUGUGGAGGAACACCAGUGGCGAAGGCGACUCUCUGGUCUGUAACUGACGCUGAGGAGCGAAAGCGUGGGGAGCGAACAGGAUUAGAUACCCUGGUAGUCCACGCCGUAAACGAUGAGUGCUAAGUGUUAGGGGGUUUCCGCCCCUUAGUGCUGCAGCUAACGCAUUAAGCACUCCGCCUGGGGAGUACGGUCGCAAGACUGAAACUCAAAGGAAUUGACGGGGGCCCGCACAAGCGGUGGAGCAUGUGGUUUAAUUCGAAGCAACGCGAAGAACCUUACCAGGUCUUGACAUCCUCUGACAAUCCUAGAGAUAGGACGUCCCCUUCGGGGGCAGAG